rnacentral:rRNA from 1 species
UACGGAAGGGGCAAGCGUUGUUCGGAAUCAUUGGGCGUAAAGGGCGUGUAGGUGGUUCUGUAUGUCUACCGUGAAAGCGUACGGCUCAACCGUAUUUAGUCGGUAGAAACUGCAGGACUUGAGGCUGGGAGGGGCUGGUGGAAUUCCUGGUGUAGGAGUGAAAUCCGUAGAUAUCAGGAGGAACAUCGGCGGCGAAGGCGGCCAACUGGUGAUGCAUUGACGCUGAGGUGCGAAAGCGUGGGGAGCAAACAGG